GUGGCGCACGGGUGAGUAAGGUAUAGUUAAUCUGCCCUACACAAGAGGACAACAGUUGGAAACGACUGCUAAUACUCUAUACUCCUGCUUAACACAAGUUGAGUAGGGAAAGUUUUUCGGUGUAGGAUGAGACUAUAUAGUAUCAGCUAGUUGGUAAGGUAAUGGCUUACCAAGGCUAUGACGCUUAACUGGUCUGAGAGGAUGAUCAGUCACACUGGAACUGAGACACGGUCCAGACUCCUACGGGAGGCAGCAGUAGGGAAUAUUGCGCAAUGGGGGAAACCCUGACGCAGCAACGCCGCGUGGAGGAUGACACUUUUCGGAGCGUAAACUCCUUUUCUUAGGGAAGAAUUCUGACGGUACCUAAGGAAUAAGCACCGGCUAACUCCGUGCCAGCAGCCGCGGUAAUACGGAGGGUGCAAGCGUUACUCGGAAUCACUGGGCGUAAAGGGCGCGUAGGCGGAUUAUCAAGUCUCUUGUGAAAUCUAAUGGCUUAACCAUUAAACUGCUUGGGAAACUGA
rnacentral:rRNA from 1 species